rnacentral:misc_RNA from 1 species
GAGUAAAAGUCGUAACAAGGUUUCCGUAGGUGAACCUGCGGAAGGAUCAUUAUUGUAUAACCGAGGUGCGAGGGCUGUCGCUGACCCGAAAGGUCGUGCACGCCCGAGUGCCCUCACACACAUCCAUCUCACCCCUAUGUGCACCACCGCGUGGGUCCCCCUUUGGCUUGUUCGGAGGGGGGCUUACGUUUUCACACAAACUUUGUAUGCAGUGUAGAAUGUAUUUUUUGUUUUUGCGAUCACGCAAUCAAUACAACUUUCAACAACGGAUCUCUUGGCUCUC